rnacentral:rRNA from 1 species
AGAGUUUAUCCUGGCUCAGGACGAACGCUGGCGGCACGCUUAACACAUGCAAGUCGAACGAGAGAAGAGAAGCUUGCUUUUCUGAUCUAGUGGCGGACGGGUGAGUAACACGUGAGCAAUCUGCCUUUCAGAGGGGGAUACCGAUUGGAAACGAUCGUUAAUACCGCAUAACAUAAUUGAACCGCAUGAUUUGAUUAUCAAAGAUUUAUCGCUGAAAGAUGAGCUCGCGUCUGAUUAGCUAGUUGGUAAGGUAACGGCUUACCAAGGCGACGAUCAGUAGCCGGACUGAGAGGUUGAUCGGCCACAUUGGGACUGAGACACGGCCCAGACUCCUACGGGAGGCAGCAGUGGGGAAUAUUGCACAAUGGAGGAAACUCUGAUGCAGCGAUGCCGCGUGAGGGAAGAAGGUUUUAGGAUUGUAAACCUCUGUCUUCAGGGACGAAAAAAAGACGGUACCUGAGGAGGAAGCUCCGGCUAACUACGUGCCAGCAGCCGCGGU